rnacentral:rRNA from 1 species
AUGAGAGUGCCGUGCACGGAAGACGACCGUCAUUUCUUUGCGGCAACCACCACGGUCACCGUGGGAAACGGAAGGACAAUGAGGUUCUGGACUUCAUCUUGGCUAGGAGGAUUGUGCCCUCAUGACAUCGCUCCCUGUCUCUACGAUCCCUCUCGCAAGAAAAACUCCUCGGUUCAGCAAGCUAUGGCCAACAACCAGUGGAUUGCGAAUAUUAACAGCUCAAAUGGCCUCUCCUUUGAACACAUCCAACAGUUUGCUAACCUUUAGCACAAACUAAUAACGGUGGCUCUUGAUGACGACGUUGAAGACCCUAUUAUAUGGAAGUUCACCAAAGAUGGGGCAUAUUCUGCAUCCUCGGCCUACAAGGCUCAAUUUGAAGGCCUCGCCACCUCGGACCUUGUCCAUUCUGUGUGGACGGUGUGGGCGCCCCCUCGAUGCAAGUUUUUUGCUUGGCUUGUUCUUCAAGAUAGGAUUUGGACUUCAGACCACUUGAGCCGCCGCGGUUGA